UACGUAGGGGGUAAGCGUUGUCCGGAUUUAUUGGGCGUAAAGAGCGUGUAGGCGGCCAGGUAGGUCAGCUGUGAAAACUCGAGGCUCAACCUCGAGACGUCGGUUGAAACCACUUGGCUAGAGUCCGGAAGAGGAGAGUGGAAUUCCUGGUGUAGCGGUGAAAUGCGCAGAUAUCAGGAAGAACACCCGUGGCGAAGGCGGCUCUCUGGGACGAUACUGACGCUGAGACGCGAAAGCGUGGGGAGCGAACAGG
rnacentral:rRNA from 1 species